UAUGCAGUGUGCAAUUAUUCCAUUAGGGUGCGUUUGGUUCAAGUUAUCCUGGCAGGAUUACAGGCAAUCCUGUCAGAAUAACUGUGUUUGGUUAAUCCGCUAUGUAAUCUAGUCGUUAAUGUAACAUUACAAAUCGAGCAGGAUUACAUCGAAAAUAUUAACGGGAGGGGGGUCGUGUAUCUUGCAUUACUGAAACCCGUUAAUACUACAUAUUAUGUAAAAUGACAAUUUGACCCUCCAAUAACCCAAAAUCUAAUUAACAGCAUUAUUUUCAUCUCUCUCUCGCCGUCCCAUGGCCCUCUCUCUCGCACGCCGCUUUCUCUCGCUCUCUCUCUCAACGUCUCUCUCUCUCUCUCUCUCUCACACGAACACCUAUCAUCUUCUAUUGCGUCGUCCUCCGAAGUAAUCAUCACGAUCUCCUUCCCUCCAUUCAUUAUUUCCGUAAAAAAUAAUAUUCAAAUGACCACAACAAGGAUAAUUUUGGAAAAAACUAUACUUUUAUGUCAGGAUUACUAAAUUUUAUAAACUGAACCAAACAUAUUAAUACUAUAAAUACUGUAAUCUAGUAUUAUAUUACUGUAUUAAACCAAACGCUCUAAUGCAGCAUUAGUAGUAAUCUCACGCCGAAAUUCAAAAUACCUGGAUAUAUCGAGAUACUUUGUAAUAUUACAUAACUCAAACCAAACGGGCCCUUAUAGUUAAAUUGUACUUUACCAUUCAUGUACUUUAAUCUUCGCUUA
rnacentral:lncRNA from 1 species